ensembl:lncRNA
GUGAUUGUGAGUGGCAAAUGGGGGCGGGGAGGGAGAGGUAUUUGUUCCUCACUUCCCGUGUACUUUCUUCAGUCUGCUUGUGUCACUUCUGAUUUUGAUAACUGCUGAGCUCAAUCUAGAUGAAAUGAUUUUGAUGAUGUGUUUCAGCCCUGUCUUCUUAAUCUGUGACAGCAUGCUGUAGCUUUGGGUAGUUGAUUCUUUAGAUUAAUUUUACUCUGGUGUUCAUUUCCCAUGAAAGUGAUCCAAAUGCAGCCUUCUAAUUUACUUAUCUAUCUGCUGAGUAAAUUCCUAUAACCCUUUUGAGUCUGGGGAAUCAGCCUCUCCUCAAUCGUGAAAGGUGUAAGCAGUUCUGCYGCUCUGUGCACUUAAGUUUGUUUCACACUUGUGAUCUUCUCAUACUUCUAUAUGGAAAGGGAGGUCUUAAUCCAUGCCCUUCUUAACACAGUCCUUAUUGGGGUAAGUUUUGACCUUCUUCCUUCACUACCUCUUCUGUGCCCUAACAGACCCCAUAUCAGCUAGGGGAAGCUGUCAGCAAUAUGGGGAGACCUGGGCACAUCAAGAACCAAAAGGGGCCUGUUCCUCAGGCCGUGCGCAGGCCUACCACCAGAAGGACGCAGUUUCAUCAACUAAUUGCCCUAGCGCGAAAUAUGACAGGACACACUAUCUGUGGCCUCCGCUAAUGGUAGAGGCUGCAGGGAAACCCAUCCUUUGCCACGGCUCCUACGCUGAAGAACGGUCCUCAGGUAGAGAAGUUGGAGGUUGCACCACCAUCUCCGGGACAGCUGAGACAUGUGUUCUUCCACAAUGCAUUACCUUUUGUAGGGUUUGGAUUUUUGGAUAACGCAAUUAUGAUUGCUGCG